AAACAUGUUCCGCCCAUUGCCUCCUAGCUAUUGCUUAAAGAUAUAAAAAUAAAUCAGACCCUGAGACUUCUCAGCGGGAACCUGAACAUUGCUUGAGAAGGUUCUUUUCUCAUCGCCGGCCCAGGACAUCUCCCCUUCCUACCCUGCAUCGACAUCGACUACAGCUGGUCUGCGGCACCCUGGAGCCUGCAGUCCGGUAGGAGCACCUGUGCCAAGAAGCGGGAGGGCGAGCUCACGGUGGCCCAGGGCCGCGUGAAGGACCUAGAGUCCCUGUUCCACCGGAGCGAGGUGGAGCUGGCCACCGCCCUCAGUGACAAGCGCAGCCUAGAAGGCGACGUGGUGGAGCUCCAGGCGCAGGUGGCCAAGGCAAGGGACAGUCACACAGUGGCCAAGCAGCAGCUGGAGAAGGAGACGCUGAUGCUCGUGGACCUGGAGAGCCACUGCCAGAGCCUGUCCAUCCCUCACUGGCUGAGUAGCAGGGGAGGCACAAUUUUUCCCCAGAUGUGGCUUCAUGUUUCAUCUCCUCUUUAUAAGUUAGUUCCCCGGCCCCCUCCUUACUUGAGCUUGGAUCUCUUCCUAACACUAUCUAUUCUUUGCUCUGGGACUUUCCCAGGGGCAGAUGUUCCAUCCAGGCGACCUCAGACCACCUAGUGAUGACUAUGUUUCUACUUUUGUCCUAGGUAGAAAAAUGUUUUUCUUCUGCCCUCCGUACUCAUGACUACAUUCUACAGAGGCUCUCUUAUUACUUUUAUCUCUCCAUCAAAGUCCCGUUCAGUUAGGGACUUCUUAAAUGCAUGCUUGAAAAUGGACCACUUUUAAGUUUCUUUUUCUUACAAAUCCCCUCCUCUUUCCUUUGCAACUCUCUUGGUCCCAUUUUCACUUGUAUUUUACCAGCUGUCUUUGGAUUUCAAAUCCUUCCAAGAUUUACUGACUCUCCUCAUCAUAAGAGGUCAAGCCUGACUUGGGCAUCUGUCUCAUUAUCGCUGUUUACAUGUCUCUGAGCCGAUCUGAUCACCAUGCACAGAGACAGUGAACACUUGCUGCUGUCACCGUGGCUCCGCCCCAUGGGAUGAGAGGUAUGGGCAGCAGGCGCAGGGGUGCCCCA